rnacentral:rRNA from 1 species
UGCCAGCCGCCGCGGUAAUACGGAGGGUGCAAGCGUUAAUCGGAAUUACUGGGCGUAAAGCGCGCGUAGGCGGCUUCGUCAGUCAGAUGUGAAAGCCCAGGGCUUAACCUUGGAAUUGCAUUUGAUACUGCGAAGCUAGAGUAUGGUAGAGGGGAGUGGAAUUUCCAGUGUAGCGGUGAAAUGCGUAGAUAUUGGAAGGAACACCAGUGGCGAAGGCGACUCCCUGGGCCAAUACUGACGCUGAGGUGCGAAAGCGUGGGGAGCAAACAGGAUUAGAUA